CCUACGGGGCGCAGCAGUGGGGAAUAUUACACAAUGGGGGAAACCCUGAUGCAGCGACGCCGCGUGAAGGAAGAAGUAUUUCGGUAUGUAAACUUCUAUCAGCAGGGAAGAAAAUGACGGUACCUGACUAAGAAGCCCCGGCUAACUACGUGCCAGCAGCCGCGGUAAUACGUAGGGGGCAAGCGUUAUCCGGAAUCACUGGGUGUAAAGGGAGCGUAGACGGCUGUGCAAGCCUGAAGUGAAAGGCGGGGGCCCAACCCCCGGACUGCUUUGGGAACUGUACGGCUGGAGUGCAGGAGAGGUAA
rnacentral:rRNA from 1 species